UUCCUACGGGGGGCAGCAGUGAGGAAUAUUGGUCAAUGGGCGCGAGCCUGAACCAGCCAAGUCGCGUGAGGGAAGACGGUCCUAUGGAUUGUAAACCUCUUUUGUCGGGGAGCAAAAGACGCCACGCGUGGCGUUCCGAGAGUACCCGAAGAAAAAGCAUCGGCUAACUCCGUGCCAGCAGCCGCGGUAAUACGGAGGAUGCGAGCGUUGUCCGGAUUUAUUGGGCGUAAAGCGAGUGCAGGCGGUUCAAUAAGUCUGAUGUGAAAGCCUU
rnacentral:rRNA from 1 species